GACAGAGGGUGCGAACGUUGUUCGGAAUUACUGGGCGUAAAGCGCUUGUAGGCGGCCUGUCAAGUCGCGUGUGAAAUCCCUUGGCUUAACCAAGGAAGUGCGCGCGAAACUGGCGGGCUUGAGUGCCGGAGAGGGUCGCGGAAUUCCCGGUGUAGAGGUGAAAUUCGUAGAUAUCGGGAGGAACACCAGUGGCGAAGGCGGCGACCUGGACGGACACUGACGCUGAGACGCGAAAGCGUGGGGAGCAAACAGG
rnacentral:rRNA from 1 species